CGCCCCCACGCCUGACUACGCCCACACACUUGGCCCCGCCCCCGUUUCGGCCCCGCCCAGAUCCGCCUCCGUUGCAGCCAGAAGCAAGAAGCUGUCUUCCCGCCCCCGCGCGCCUGCAAUCAUUAGCCCCAGUCUGCCUGGGAAACAGAGGAGCGCACCUGAGCAUGUAGAAUCACAAUUCUUGUUUCAUGAAGUUUGUUAAGUAAUUUGAACAAAGGUAAAUUUAUAUCAAGAAUCAUGUGAGGAUACUUAAGACCAGCCGGCCUGGCCGUGGAUCAAGAGCAAAUUCUGCUGCAGUGGGAUUCUUGAGCAUCUGGGAAGAAAGGGGCUACAGAAACAUGUGAGUCAUCCAACUACAGAAUCCAUGGAGGCAGAGGCUCUGGUGACGUGCUUGGCUUCUUGUCUCUGGCCUGGGGUCAUUGUCACUGAUACUGGUCUUGCUGCUUCUGCUGCUGAGUGUCUUUGGCUCAGUUAUUCUUGAACCACACCAGAACUUGUGCUCAGCUCAGGAUAUGUUCCUGACCCUUCCUUCUUGAAGGGACAGCCGUGUAACCAUUCAACCAUCUGGCCAUCAGUUUCCACAUCUGUGAGAUCAACUUCUGCCUCAUGGAGCCAGGAGUUCCCAAGAUGGAGUGUCUCUAAGCUCACUGCGACCUCCCCCUCCUGGGUUCAAGC